rnacentral:rRNA from 1 species
AGCGAACGCUGGCGGCAGGCCUAACACAUGCAAGUCGAACGAACCUUUCGGGGUUAGUGGCGGACGGGUGAGUAACACGUGGGAACGUGCCUUUAGGUUCGGAAUAACUCAGGGAAACUUGUGCUAAUACCGCAUGUGCCCUUCGGGGGAAAGAUUUAUCGCCUUUAGAGCGGCCCGCGUCUGUUUAGCUAGUUGGUUGAGGUAAUGGCCCACCAAGGCGACGAUCAGUAGCUGGUCUGAGAGGAUGAUCAGCCACAUUGGGACUGAGACACGGCCCAAACUCCGACGGGAUGGAGCAGUAGGGAAUCUUGCGCAAUGAGCGAAAGCCUGACGCAGCCAUGCCGCGUGAAUGAUGAAGGUCUUAGGAUUGUAAAAUUCUUUCACCGGAGACGAUAAUGACGGUACCCGGAGAAGAAGCCCCGGCUAACUUCGUG